CGGCAGGGUAGCCUAGUGGUUAGAGUGUAGAGGCGGCAGGGUAGCCUAGUGGUUAGAGUGUAGAGGUGACAGGGUAGCCUAGUGGUUAGAGUGGAGGGGCGGCAGGGUAGCCUAGUGGUUAGAGUGUUGGACUAGUAACCGGAAGGUUGCAAGUUCAAACCCCCGAGCUGACAAGGUACAAAUCUGUCGUUCUGCCCCUGAACAGGCAGUUAACCCACUGUUCCUAGACCAGUUAACCCACUGUUCCUAGACCAGUUAACCCACUGUUCCUAGACCAGUUAACCCACUGUUCCUAGGCCAGUUAACCCACUGUUCCUAGGCCAGUUAACCCACUGUUCCUAGACCAGUUAACCCACUGUUCCUAGGCCAGUUAACCCACUGUUCCUAGGCCAGUUAACCCCACUGUUC
ensembl:lncRNA